rnacentral:misc_RNA from 1 species
GAUGAAGAACGUAGCGAAAUGCGAUAAGUAGUGUGAAUUGCAGAAUUCAGUGAAUCAUCGAAUCUUUGAACGCACAUUGCGCCCUUUGGUAUUCCUUAGGGCAUGCCUGUUCGAGCGUCAUUUAAACCUUCAAGCUCAGCUUGGUGUUGGGUGACUGUCCGCUUCACGGCGGACUCGCCUCAAAAUUAUUGGCGGCCGGUACAUUGGCUUCGAGCGCAGCAGAAACGCGAACUCGGGCCCGUCGUAUUGGCUCCCAGAAGCUAUCUUCACAAUUUUGACCUCGGAUCAGGUAGGGAUACCCGCUGAACUUAAGCAUAUCAAUAAGCGGAGGA